rnacentral:lncRNA from 1 species
CUGGUGUGGUCGGUGUUGUACUACCUGUAGGAUCUGUAGUGUUUGGUGCUGUACUAACUGUAGGAUCUGUAGUGUUUGGUGUUGUACUAACUGUAGGAUCUGUAGUGUUUGGUGCUGUACUAACUGUAGGAUCUGUAAUGUUCGGUGUUGUACUAACUGUAGGAUCUGUAGUGUUUGGUGUUGUACUAACUGUAGGAUCUGUAGUGUUCGGUGUUGUACUAACUGUAGGAUCUGUAAUGUUCGGUGUUGUACUAACUGUAGGAUCUGUAGUGGACGGUGUUGGACCAACU